GAACGCUGGCGGUAGGCCUAACACAUGCAAGUCGAACGGCAGCACAGUAAGAGCUUGCUCUUACGGGUGGCGAGUGGCGGACGGGUGAGGAAUACAUCGGAAUCUACUUUUUCGUGGGGGAUAACGUAGGGAAACUUACGCUAAUGCCGCAUACGACCUACGGGUGAAAGCAGGGGAUCUUCGGACCUUGCGCGAUUGAAUGAGCCGAUGUCGGAUUAGCUAGUUGGCGGGGUAAAGGCCCACCAAGGCGACGAUCCGUAGCUGGUCUGAGAGGAUGAUCAGCCACACUGGAACUGAGACACGGUCCAGACUCCUACGGGAGGCAGCAGUGGGGAAUAUUGGACAAUGGGCGCAAGCCUGAUCCAGCCAUACCGCGUGGGUGAAGAAGGCCUUCGGGUUGUAAAGCCCCUUUGUUGGGAAAGAAAAGCAGCAGGUUAAUACCCCGCUGUUCUGACGGUACCCAAAGAAUAAGCACCGGCUAACUUCGUG
rnacentral:rRNA from 1 species